rnacentral:rRNA from 1 species
AUUCCAGCUCCAAUAGUGUAUAUUAAAGUUGUUGCAGUUAAAAAGCUCGUAGUUGGAUUUCUGGCGGGAGCGAUCGGUCCUUCACUCAGUGUUGGAACCUGAUUGUCUCCUGCCAUCCAUGGAGAAAACUUAUCUGGCAUUAAGUUGUCGGGUAGGCAAUCUCCAUCUUUUACUGUGAAAAAAUUAGAGUGUUCAAAGCAGGCUUAUGCCGUUGAAUAUAUUAGCAUGGAAUAAUAAGAUAGGAUCUUGAUACUAUUUUGUUGGUUUGCGUGUCGAGAUAAUGAUGAAUAGGGACAGUUGGGGGUAUUUGUAUUCCAUAGUCAGAGGUGAAAUUCUUGGAUUUAUGAAAGAUGAACUUAUGCGAAAGCAUUUACCAAGGAUGUUUUCAUCA